rnacentral:tRNA from 2 species
GGACAGUUGGGAGAGUGGCCGAAUCUACUACCUUGGAAAGGUAGCGUACUUUACUGUACCGAGGGUUCGAAUCCCUCACUGUCCACCA